rnacentral:piRNA from 1 species
UACAUCUGGGUAGCAGAGACUCUUUC